GGUUCCAUAGUGUAGUGGUUAUCACGUCUGUUUCACGCACUGAAGGUCCUGGGUUCGAUUCCCAGUGGGGCCA
rfam:Sarcophilus harrisii ctg7180002264808, whole genome shotgun sequence.